UUUACGGUACCCGUAAACAUACACUUGUGGUGCUCAAAAACUUUUUUUUGUAGUUUUGAGCACCACAAGUUUGUGUUUACGGGUACCGUAAAU
rnacentral:miRNA from 1 species